UCAGAGUUCAGUCAACACAGACAUUAAUCAAAUCAAUCUUUCGACACACACGCACGGAAAUACAAACACCAGCCCUACACGCUUCCUGUCACUUAUCCCGUCAGUCGCGCGUUCUGGCCCGCCGCCCGCUGCCAUUUAUUAAUGAGCUAAAGGACUCGGAUGGCAGACAGGCGUUAAACCGCAAUUUGCUCUCACUUUUCUCUGUGUUUACCUCUUUCUCUUCCUCUCCAUUUCCCUCAAGCAUUUCUUGGGCAGCAGGACAAAACGGGGGUGAAGGAAGAAGGGAUAGGCCAGUCUGACAGCUGAUAACUUCCACAUGUCUGUAAGGUUUUUGAAUCAAAAAAGCACCUCUUCUCCUUAAACCCUGACAAAAGCAACAGAGGAGAUAUAAAAGCCACGGACCUAUUUGAUCUGCGACCGAGCACCUGUCCAGAGGUUUCACCUUUGACUCCUUCACCCCGCCACGCCCCUCGUGUCAUCUCCCUACUUCUUUUAAAUAUUCAUUUCCACCUUGGAUGUGUUUGGGAGAGCUUCCUGCACCAGUCUCACAGGUUUCCCUGGGAAAGAUCUGUAGGAAGCAAAGUGGAUGGAGUUGCUGUGUGUCCUGGCGCCUGAAUGCAUCCAGAGAGUCGUUUAAAAUCCGACAAAGGGGCGGGUGUCUGCAUCACUCCGUUAGUUUGCCCUUCUCCAUCAGAUCGCUCUCAUUACCAGCAUUACUCCUUCUCUUGAUUCAAGUGGUUGUGCUUGUUCAGGACCUCGUCCAUGGGAUCUGUUGUUUGCUUUGACAUCUGGGGGAGAAUGUGGGGUCCUGGAGGGAGGCUCAGUUUUGCUGUUUAAACCUCUUUCUCUCACUGGUAAUAUGUCAGAUUUGUCAUGCAAUAACACCUGUAAUAAGUCUGAAUUACUACUUGCAUAUGCUGCACUAGUAAAGGACCUAUUGGCCUGUUGAUGAAA